CCUUCCCUCCACUCGGGGAUACCCCGUUGAAAGACGGCCUAAUACCCGAUGUUGUCCACAUAUGGCAUCUGACGUGGACCAAAGAUUCAUCGGUGGAGGAUGGGGAUGCGUCUGAUUAGCUUGUUGGUGCGGGUAACGGCCCACCAAGGCGACGAUCAGUAGGGGUUCUGAGAGGAAGGUCCCCCACAUUGGAACUGAGACACGGUCCAAACUCCUACGGGAGGCAGCAGUGAGGAAUAUUGGUCAAUGGACGUAAGUCUGAACCAGCCAAGUAGCGUGCAGGAUUGACGGCCCUAUGGAGUUGUAAACUGCUUUUGUUGGGGAGUAAAGUGAGGCACGCGUGCCUUUUUGCAUUUACCCUUCGAAUAAGGACCGGCUAAUUCCGUGCCAGCAGCCGCGGUAAUACGGAAGGUCCAGGCGUUAUCCGGAUUUAUUGGGUUUAAAGGGAGUGUAGGCGGUCUGUUAAGCGUGUUGUGAAAUUUAGGUGCUCAACAUUUAACUUGCAGCGCGAACUGGCGGACUUGAGUGCACGCAACGUAUGCGGAAUUCAUGGUGUAGCGGUGAAAUGCUUAGAUAUCAUGACGAACUCCGAUUGCGAAGGCAGCGCUACGGGAGUGUUACUGACGCUUAAGCUCGAAGGUGCGGGUAUCGAACAGGAUUAGAUACCCUGGUAGUCCGCACGGUAAACGAUGGAUGCCCGCUGUUAGCGCCUGGCGUUAGCGGCUAAGCGAAAGCAUUAAGCAUCCCACCUGGGGAGUACGCCGGCAACGGUGAAACUCAAAGGAAUUGACGGGGGCCCGCACAAGCGGAGGAACAUGUGGUUUAAUUCGAUGAUACGCGAGGAACCUUACCCGGGCUUGAAUUGCAGACGUAGGAUACAG
rnacentral:rRNA from 1 species